UACGUAGGGGGCAAGCGUUGUCCGGAAUCAUUGGGCGUAAAGAGCGUGUAGGCGGCCCGAUAAGUCCGCUGUGAAAGUCCAGGGCUCAACCCUGGGAUGCCGGUGGAUACUGUCGGGCUCGAGUCCGGAAGAGGAGUGUGGAAUUCCUGGUGUAGCGGUGAAAUGCGCAGAUAUCGGGAGGAACACCAGUGGCGAAGGCGGCACUCUGGGCCGGUACUGACGCUGAGGAGCGAAAGCGUGGGGAGCGAACAGG
rnacentral:rRNA from 1 species